UGGGGAAUAUUGGACAAUGGGCGAAAGCCUGAUCCAGCCAUGCCGCGUGUGUGAAGAAGGUCUUCGGAUUGUAAAGCACUUUAAGUUGGGAGGAAGGGCAGUAAAUUAAUACUUUGCUGCUUUGACGUUACCGACAGAAUAAGCACCGGCUAACUCUGUGCCAGCAGCCGCGGUAAUACAGAGGGUGCAAGCGUUAAUCGGAAUUACUGGGCGUAAAGCGCGCGUAGGUGGUUCGUUAAGUUGGAUGUGAAAUCCCCGGGCUCAACCUGGGAACUGCAUUCAAAACUGACGAGCUAGAGUAUGGUAGAGGGUGGUGGAAUUUCCUGUGUAGCGGUGAAAUGCGUAGAUAUAGGAAGGAACACCAGUGGCGAAGGCGACCACCUGGACUGAUACUGACACUGAGGUGCGAAAGCGUGGGGAGCAAAAC
rnacentral:rRNA from 1 species